GUCGGCUGUAAAGUCACUUUACAACUCCAACAUUAAUCUCAGCUCACACUGACAUCAUGCUGGUGACCCUCUGCGCUCUUAUCACUGCUCUAACAUGUGUGAGUGGUGUGACAGUGGUGACACAGACGCCUCCUGUUGUGACAGUGAGGAAAGGAGAAACGGCCACCAUGGACUGUAACCUGGGGAGUGUUACUGACAGCAGUGCCCGAUGGUACAGACAGAUCCCAGGAGAAGUUCCUCUAUAUAUGCUCAGGUUUUAUCAUGGCAUGAGUGCACCAAAUUAUGAGACUGGGUUUCCAUCUACAAGACACACAUCCACUCAUCAGUCAACAUCAGAUUACCGUUUGCAUAUCAGCAGUGUGGAGGAAGGAGAUUCUGCAGUUUAUUACUGUAACACAUGGGAUGACUCUGCUAAAGAGUGGGUAUCACAGUGAUUCACAGUGUGACAAAAACCUCCUCAAUAACACUUCUGCUUUUUCUCUCCCUAAUACAAAAACCAAGUGGAG